UACAUGGGGUGCAAACGUUGCUCGGAAUCAUUGGGCGUAAAGCGCACGUAGGCGGUUCGUUAUGUCGGAUGUGAAAGCCCUCGGCUUAACCGGGGAAGUGCAUCCGAAACUGGCGAGCUUGAGUACUAAAGAGGGUCGCGGAAUUCCCGGUGUAGAGGUGAAAUUCGUAGAUAUCGGGAGGAACACCAGCGGCGAAGGCGGCGACGUGGGUAGAUACUGACGCUGAGGUGCGAAAGCGUGGGGAGCAAACAGG
rnacentral:rRNA from 1 species